GCCGGGAUCGGCUAGUGGUUAGGCUGGCGGCCUGUGGAGCCGCCGAGGUGGGUUCGAAUCCCACUCCCGGCCCCA
rnacentral:tRNA from 2 species